rnacentral:rRNA from 1 species
AUUGAACGCUGGCGGCAUGCCUUACACAUGCAAGUCGAACGGCAGCACGGGAGCAAUCCUGGUGGCGAGUGGCGAACGGGUGAGUAAAGUAUCGGAACGUGCCCAGUCGUGGGGGAUAACGUAGCGAAAGUUACGCUAAUACCGCAUACGAUCUAUGGAUGAAAGCGGGGGAUCGCAAGACCUCGCGCGAUUGGAGCGGCCGAUAUCAGAUUAGGUAGUUGGUGGGGUAAAGGCCCACCAAGCCGAUGAUCUGUAGCUGGUCUGAGAGGACGACCAGCCACACUGGGACUGAGACACGGCCCAGACUCCUACGGGAGGCAGCAGUGGGGAAUUUUGGACAAUGGGCGAAAGCCUGAUCCAGCCAUGCCGCGUGCAGGAUGAAGGCCUUCGGGUUGUAAACUGCUUUUGUGCGGAACGAAAAGGACUGCCCUAAUACGGUGGUCCCAUGACGGUACCGUAAGAAUAAGCACCGGCUAACUACGUGCCAGCAGCCGCCGUAAAAC